rnacentral:rRNA from 1 species
AUCAUCAUGCCCCUUAUGCUUAGGGCUACACACGUGCUACAAUGGGUAGUACAGAGGGUUGCCAAGCCGUAAGGUGGAGCUAAUCCCUUAAAGCUACUCUCAGUUCGGAUUGUAGGCUGAAACUCGCCUACAUGAAGCUGGAGUUACUAGUAAUCGCAGAUCAGAAUGCUGCGGUGAAUGCGUUCCCGGGUCUUGUACACACCGCCCGUCACACCACGGGAGUUGGAGACGCCCGAAGCCGACUAUCUAACCUUUUGGAAGAAGUCGUCGAAGGUGGAAUCAAUAACUGGGGUGAAGUCGUAACAAGGUAGCCGUAUCGGAAGGUGCGGCUGGAUCACCUCCUUUCUAAGGAGA